CCAUCUCCAUUCCUAUCGAAAACGUUGAACGCUUCCUUCAUAUCUUCUUCUCCUAUCUCGUCCUCGUCUUCCACCAUUAUCGUCUUGUAAAGCUCUCCAAACUCUUCAAUGUCGACACAACCAUCGCCGUUCACAUCGAUCUUGUCGAUCAUCUGCCCGAGCUCCUUUUCUGGUAUUAUGAUCCCGAGGUUUUUCAAUGAAUCGUUUAGCUCCUUCUUAGUGAUCCGACCGUCUCCGUCCUUGUCGAAUAUUUGGAACACACGUUUGAGUUCCGUGGUAUUCAUUUUUAGGAAUAGGGUUAGGUUUGGAUUUGAGUUUGAGUUUGCGUGUGGAUGAAGUAAGCGUGAAAACAGAGAAUGAUGAGACUCCGCGAAGCCAUAAAGCAGUACUUUCUUGGCCCCUUGGAGACCCGGCAAGGGGAGUUUCAGAAACUAAGGAGAAUGUUAAAUAAAUGCGAUUGAAAAUUUUAGCCAAAAACUCGAGGUAAUAAAUACGGACAAAAAUAGAAGAGACAAAGAGAGAUUGUCUUAGGGUUGGAUUACUGUUGGUGGAGAGGGAAUGUUGGUCUUUUAAAGAGGACUUGUGGCUUUGUAUCCAAGUCUUAGAAAAAAGUUUAUCGGUUCUAUAAAUUGCAAACCAAAAUACUUUAAUUUUAUUUUUAGUUGAUUCUUAUUUAUACCAAAAUUUAAUAAUACAAUAAUAUUAUAUUAGGUGAACAAUAUACUAAAAUAUCAAUAUGUUGACCAGGAAUGAAGAAAAAUUGAUGCAUAUUCUAACCUUUCUAAAAAAAUUACCAUUCACAAGCAAUAUUUUUUUCUUUUUUAUUUUUUUUGUAAAGAAAUAAAAAAUAAAAUUAUACUUUGUUGAAUUUGAAAAGAAACAAUCAUUUUUUUUUUCAUUCUUACAGUUUUAUUCUUUUACAUUCGUUUCCUAUUCGUUCAUUUUGUUUUCAAAAUAUUCACCGGUCGGACCAUAGUGUUUAACAUUAUCAUUGCUUAUAAUGUAAUUAACUAAAUAAUCUGUUUGCCGGCGGCUAAGAUCAAAUCCGUUGGAGUGGUGAACCACUUCGUUAUACUGUCCCAACUAUGUGAAGUCUUUAAAUUCACUUUUCUAAUAAAACAAUAAACAGAAUAUGUCAACAGAUAUAAUAAUUUGUUAACAAUUCGUUUUUUAUGAUGAUAUUUGUUCACUUGUAAACUGAUGAAACCCUUAUUCACGAAGAAACAAAGGAAAGCACUUUGUGUUCCAAAGAAAUCAGUACAUAUUAUUUUUCUAAAAUUUAAACUGUUGAGAUGCAGUAACUGGCAGAAUUCUAAAAGUUGGAAACGGACAGUAAUACAAGAACUACAUCUCCUAAAUUAAAUCUUAAAUCAAUUCAUAAAAUAGAUAAUACUUUGUCAUAUUGGUAUUUUAUCACCUGGAACUCUCAAUGUUUAUGUCAGAGUUGUGUCUUUUAGCGAGUCAGAAGUGGUGGUUUGGUGAAGCGAGUUCAUAUAGGGGUUGGUGAAGUGGUGUCUUUUAGCUUCUCUUCAUGGUGCAAACACAUCCUUUGGGGUAGUAGACCUUGUUCUGCAAUCUCGGUGCAGUGUGUAGCUUAAAUCCAUAUUAUAGGGGGUUAGAUUCUUAGGAAUCAAAUUUUUGAGGAUUAAUUUUCUUUUUAUUGUGCAGCUUCUGAUGGUUGUGGCUUUUCCAAAUGAGAGCGGGUUUUGUGCUCCAUGCAGUUCUUUCGCCUUUUCUCAGUUUAUAAAAAAAAGCAUCUCAAUCACAUUAUAAUUAAAUUAAUAAACAAACAGGUCUACAAUUUUUACAAUGUGCUCUCGCAAAUCUUAGACUAUUAAACACUUCAUUUACCAAUCAUGUGAUUUUUCCUUCUAGAAUGCGAGAGAAAAAUGGUUAAUCAAAAAAAUAAAAUAAACAAAGUUAAGAAAAAAAAGGUCAUUAAUUAUCAGCUCAAAGAGCUAAAAAACCGACCCUUCUUCAUCAUUUGUCUAAACUCCGUGUAAUCAACUCUACCAUCACCAUCAACAUCCACUUGUAUUAUCAUCUUCCUACAUUCCUCCAAGGUUUUACCUUGCUUGAGUCCCAAGGAAGACAAAACCGCUUUCAGUUCAUCCACUGUAAUAAACCCAUCUCCAUUCCUAUCGAAAACGUUGAACGCUUCCUUCAUAUCUUCUUCUCCUAUCUCGUCCUCGUCUUCCACCAUUAUCGUCUUGUAAAGCUCUCCAAACUCUUCAAUGUCGACACAACCAUCGCCGUUCACAUCGAUCUUGUCGAUCAUCUGCCCGAGCUCCUUUUCUGGUAUUAUGAUCCCGAGGUUUUUCAAUGAAUCGUUUAGCUCCUUCUUAGUGAUCCGACCGUCUCCGUCCUUGUCGAAUAUUUGGAACACACGUUUGAGUUCCGUGGUAUUCAUUUUUAGGAAUAGGGUUAGGUUUGGAUUUGAGUUUGAGUUUGCGUGUGGAUGAAGUAAGCGUGAAAACAGAGAAUGAUGAGACUCCGCGAAGCCAUAAAGCAGUACUUUCUUGGCCCCUUGGAGACCCGGCAAGGGGAGUUUCAGAAACUAAGGAGAAUGUUAAAU
rnacentral:lncRNA from 1 species